GUAUUUUGACUAUACAAAGGUAUUGUAAUAAGACUUUAAUUGAGUGCUAAGAGAAUGGAUUUUCAAAAAAAUUCUUUUUUAAGUUUAAAAAUUAAAGUUAUUUUUAUUUGUGAAGAAACAAUAAUAAAAAUUAAAGACAAGAAGACCCUAUGAAUUUUUAUAAACUUUAAUAUUUAAUUAAAUAUUAAAGUUUAUUUAAUUGGGGCGAUUGAGAAAGAUAAAAAACUUUUUUUUUAUUUAAAGAGAUCCAUUAUUAAUGAUUUUAUGUAAAAAAUACUCUAGGGAUAACAGCGUAAUAA
rnacentral:rRNA from 1 species